UUGAACUGAAGAGUUUGAUCAUGGCUCAGAUUGAACGCUGGCGGCAGGCCUAACACAUGCAAGUCGAGCGGAUGACGGGAGCUUGCUCCUUGAUUCAGCGGCGGACGGGUGAGUAAUGCCUA
rnacentral:rRNA from 1 species